rnacentral:tRNA from 1 species
CCGAAGUGGUGGAACUGGUAGACGCGCUGCGUUCAGGGCGCAGUGGGAGCAAUCCUGUGGGGGUUCGAGUCCCCCCUUCGGCACCA